rnacentral:rRNA from 1 species
UACGUAGGGUGCGAGCGUUGUCCGGAAUUAUUGGGCGUAAAGAGCUUGUAGGCGGUUUGUCGCGUCUGCUGUGAAAUUUCGGGGCUCAACCCCGGACUUGCAGUGGGUACGGGCAGACUAGAGUGUGGUAGGGGAGACUGGAAUUCCUGGUGUAGCGGUGAAAUGCGCAGAUAUCAGGAGGAACACCGGUGGCGAAGGCAGGUCUCUGGGCCGAUACUGACGCUGAGGAGCGAAAGCGUGGGGAGCGAACAGG